CAGUGUAUGGAGGCAGGCUGUAGGACAAAGGGCGGGUGGCAGAAGCCGCUUCGACCGGCCGGCUAGGGAGCUAGCUUCCUGCCGGGCUCAGCGCUCUGUUGGUCCUGGGAUAGUGUGGCAGUGACGGCCUUAGCCUCUUCACUACACAGUGCACACAGUUCCUCGUUCACGUCCUCUCGCUCCGUCGCGCCAACCCGCCCUGCCCCUCAAACCGGCGCGCGGCACCGCCAGCCCCAGCGCGGAGGGAAUGUGACGGCGUCAGCGCCUCAGUUUGUUCUCAGGGGAGGCAGUAAGGGGCCGUGGAGCUGGCCUCAGCACCAGGAGAGGCUGGACUUCCUGUCUCUCUGUGCUGAAUGGCUGCGAUGGCGCCCGCUCUCACUGACGCAGCAGCUGAAGCACACCACAUCCGGUUCAAACUGGCUCCCCCAUCCUCCACCUUGUCCCCAGGCAGUGCCGAAAAUAACGGCAACGCCAACAUCCUUAUUGCUGCCAACGGAACAAAAAGAAAAGCCAUUGCUGCAGAGGAUCCCAGUCUAGACUUCCGAAGUAAUCCUACCAAGGAAGACUUGGGAAAGCUGCAGCCAUUGGUGGCAUCAUAUCUCUGCUCGGAUGUAACACCUGUUCCCUCAAAGGAGUCUUUGAAAUUACAAGGGGUCUUCAGCAAGCAGACAGUCCUUAAAUCUCAUUCUCUCUUAUCUCAGUCCUAUGAGCUCCGAGCUGAGCUGUUGGGGAGACAGCCAGUUUUGGAGUUUUCCUUAGAAAAUCUUAGAACCAUGAAUACAAGUGGCCAGACAGCUCUGCCACAAGCGCCUGUAAAUGGAUUGGCUAAGAAAUUGACUAAAAGUUCAACACAUUCUGAUCAUGACAAUUCCAGUUCCCUCAAUGGGGGAAAACGGGGUCUCACUUCAUCUGCUCUACAAGGAGGUGAAGUGGGAUCUGACUCUGGGGACUUAAAGGGGGGUAUGACCAAUUGCACUCUUCCACAUAGAAGCCUUGAUGUAGAACAUACAACUCUAUAUAGCAAUAAUAGCACUGCAAACAAAUCUUCUGUCAAUUCCAUGGAACAGCUGGCACUUCAAGGAAGCAGUAGGUUAUCACCUGGUACGGACUCCAGUACUAACUUGGGAGGUGUCAAAUCAGAGGGCAAAAAGUCUCCCCUGUCUUCCAUUCUUUUCAGUGCUUUAGAUUCUGACACAAGGAUAACAGCUUUACUGAGGCGGCAGGCUGAUAUUGAGAUCCGUGCUCGCAGGCUACAGAAGCGCUUACAGGUUGUACAAGCCAAGCAGGUAGAGAGGCAUUUACAACAUCAGCUGGGUGGAUUUUUGGAGAAGACUUUGAGCAAACUGCCAAACUUGGAAUCCUUGAGGUCCCGGAGCCAGUUGAUGCUGACCCGGAAGGCUGAAGCUGCCUUGAGAAGAGCUGCCAGUGAGACCACCACUUCAGAGGGACUUAGCAACUUCUUGAAAAGUGAUUCAAUUUCCGAAGAAUUGGAGAGGUUUACAGCUAGUGGCAUAGCCAACUUGAGGUGCAGUGAACAAGCAUUUGAUUCUGAUGUCACUGACAGUAGUUCAGGAGGGGAAUCUGAUAUUGAAGAGGAAGAACUGAGCAGAGCUGAUCCUGAGCAGUGCCAUGUACCCCUGUGAGUAGAACCCAUAGUGACACAUAAUGUCAUUUUUGAGAAAUGUUGGGGCAAGGGAGAAAGAUUUAGUGAAUCCCCAUUUUGGAAAGAAUAAAAUUCUUUGUAUAUUGGCAACUAGGUUCCAUUUUUCUUUUUCCUAGUUUUUGGUACCUUGUGAAAAAAUGAAAGAUGUUUCUGCUGUAGUGUUGUGUUUCUGUAGGCUAAAAGUUGAUGAUUUCCUUUUGAAGUCUUACUAAGAAAAAACUGGAGGAAACCCUAUUAGUAAAUAUUUCUUUUGAAACUAUAUGUGGGUCAUUUUGUUAAGGUUAAAAUGGUUUGACUUGAGAUUUUGUUGUUUCUAAUAAGUAGGGACAAGUGUUUAGUUGACUUAGUUAAAUUGGUUGGGAUUUAUAGUUGCUUUUAAUUGAACUUUAUCAGAGAGCAUACUUGGUCUUUAAUUUUAACACUUGAGAUUUUUUUUUUAUUGUUGGAAAACCAGACUUACUUUCCUCUCUUCUCAAACUACAACAGUCGACCCAGAAGACAUCUGUGAUCUUGAAAGGUGUAGGAAUUUCUCCAUACCAGCAAGCUAUCAAUCAUUUCUAUUGGACCUGGAGAUAGUGCCAGAUCCUGUGGGUUCAGGACUCAGUCCUCAAGACUACCCCCCAGCCCAAGUCCCUUCAGAUACCAGUUGUAAGACCCUUGUGGUUUAUCAGUGCUUCUGAGUUUCUCACUGGCUAUAAAUUCUUUUCAUAACACCCUCCUUGGAUUCAGUUAAUUUGAAUAGCUCACAGUACUCAAAUACUAUCUUAAUGUUUGCCUUUUUAAGUAAAUACUACUACAAAGGAUAUAGGGGAGGACAUGCAUUGGGUGAGAUAUGGGGAAAAGAGAGUGGAGCUUCCAUAUCCUCUCUGAAUGUCUGAAUGUGCCAUCUUUUAGGAGCCUCUUUGUGUUCCGCUAUCCAGAAGCUCGCUGAACCAUCCCCCCCCCUCUUUUUUUGCGUGGUGCUGGGGUUUGAACUCAUCG